rnacentral:sRNA from 1 species
UACACUGGUCUACUACGUUCAUGCCUUUUGUCUCUCUUACG